AAUCAACGCUGGCGGCGUGCCUCAGACAUGCAAGUCGAACGAUUAAACUUUCCUUCGGGAAAGAUAUAAAGUGGCGCACGGGUGAGUAACACGUAGGUAAUGUACCUUUGGGUGGGGAAUAACUUAGGGAAACUUAAGCUAAUACCGCAUAAUGCAGCGGCUCCUUCGGGAGACAGUUGUUAAAGAUUUAUCGCCUAAAGAGCAGCCUGCGGCAGAUUAGCUAGUUGGUAAGGUAACGGCUUACCAAGGCGACGAUCUGUAUCCGACCUGAGAGGGUGGUCGGACACACUGACACUGAAUAACGGGUCAGACUCCUACGGGAGGCAGCAGUCGGGAAUUUUGGGCAAUGGGCGAAGCCUGACCCAGCAACGCCGCGUGAAGGAUGAAGUCUUUCGGGAUGUAACUCGUAAGAAUAGGAAGAAUAAAUGACGGUACUAUUUGUAAGGUCC
rnacentral:rRNA from 1 species